CACUUCCAAGGUCCUCCUCACGCCAAGCUCAGCACAAAGUAAAAUCUUAAUUUGCUGGCAAAAUUUAAAUUCCACCCAAAAGUUCUGCUGUUGAAGUAAUGCUCCAGUUGGAGAAAUUGAUGCUCUCACUGACAGUGUUUUAGGACAGCAGCCUCACCCACCUCAUCACGAUGAAAUUUGUAGCAAAAGCAUGAAGACUGUCUGGGUCCAGAAAACCAGUGAAUGUGCACAAUAAGCAGAGAUAUAGCUAGAAGCAGACCUAUGGAAAUGACCAGUCCGGGAGCCAUGGUUUACUGUAAUCUCGAAAAACAUGCUGACUCUUGUGAGGACUGAACACAGCACAUGGAUGACCUUGGACAAACAUCUUUCCUAAGACUCAUUUUUACUACUACAAAAUGGGAAACGGAGUACUGCUAUCCAAGAGAUGUGGACAGGCACAUCCGUAAUCCUGAGCUUUGCUGAAAGCUGAAAGUCUCAUGGAAAUGGAGAAAGUUUACUUCAAAGGAGAUCCUCUGCCAGCUAUGGAAGGAAC
ensembl:lncRNA